rnacentral:rRNA from 1 species
AUUGAACGCUGGCGGCAGGCCUAACACAUGCAAGUCGAGCGGAUGAAGGGAGCUUGCUCCUGGAUUCAGCGUCGGACGGGUGAGUAAUGCCUAGGAAUCUGCCUGGUAGUGGGGGAUAACGUCCGGAAACGGGCGCUAAUACCGCAUACGUCCUGAUGGAGAAAGUGGGGGAUCUUCGGACCUCACGCUAUCAGAUGAGCCUAGGUCGGAUUAGCUAGUUGGUGGGGUAAAGGCCUACCAAGGCGACGAUCCGUAACUGGUCUGAGAGGAUGAUCAGUCACACUGGAACUGAGACACGGUCCAGACUCCUACGGGAGGCAGCAGUGGGGAAUAUUGGACAAUGGGCGAAAGCCUGAUCCAGCCAUGCCGCGUGUGUGAAGAAGGUCUUCGGAUUGUAAAGCACUUUAAGUUGGGAGGAAGGGCAGUAAGUUAAUACCUUGCUGUUUUGACGUUACCAACAGAAUAAGCACCGGCUAACUUCGUG